UAUUCCAGCUCCAAUAGCGUAUAUUAAAGUUGUUGCAGUUAAAAAGCUCGUAGUUGAACUUCAGACCUGGCCGGGCGGUCUGCCUAACGGUAUGUACUGUCUGGCUGGGUCUUACCUCUUGGUGAGCCGGCAUGCCCUUUACUGGGUGUGUCGGGGAACCAGGAUCUUUACCUUGGGAAAAUUAGAGUGUUCAAAGCAGGCCUAUGCCCGAAUACAUUAGCAUGGAAUAAUAAAAUAGGACGUGCGGUUCUAUUUUGUUGGUUUCUAGAGUCGCCGUAAUGAUUAAUAGGGAUAGUUGGGGGCAUUAGUAUUCAGUUGCUAGAGGUGAAAUUCUUGGAUUUACUGAAGACUAACUACUGCGAAAGCAUUUGCCAAGGAUGUUUUCAUUAAUCAAGAACGAAGGUUAGGGGAUCGAAAACGAUCAGAUACCGUUGUAGUCUUAACAGUAAACUAUGCCGACUAGGGAUCGGGCGAACUCAAUUUUAUGUGUCGCUCGGCACCUUACGAGAAAUCAAAGGUCUUUGGGUUCUGGGGGGAGUAUGGUCGCAAAGGCUGAAACUUAAAGGAAUUGAC
rnacentral:rRNA from 1 species